rnacentral:rRNA from 1 species
UGCAAGUUGAACGGUAUUAUGGUUUCGGCCAUAAGAGAGUAGCGGAUGGGUGCGUAACGCGUAUGCAACCUACCUUAUGCAGGGGGAUAGCCCAUGGAAACGUGGAUUAAUACCCCAUAAUAUUAUCAGGUCACCUGGCCUUUUAAUUAAAGUUUCGGCGGCAUAAGAUGGGCAUGCGUCUGAUUAGUUAGUUGGUAAGGUCACGGCUUACCAAGGCUAUGAUCAGUAGGGGUCCUGAGAGGGUUUUCCCCCACACUGGUACUGAGACACGGACCAGACUCC